rnacentral:lncRNA from 1 species
AUCAUCUGACCGACCACCUGAUGAAGAGUUUCAGCUAUACUUGGAAGGUCAGAUUGAGGCCAGAUCCUGAUGGACCUUGAAUGCCGGGUUGAGGAGCUUAGAUGGAAUCCUUCAGAUUUCUGGAACUGCGAGGAGGCAUCUUCAUUUAUGUGCUCCAGUGAAGCCUGGCUCCAAGCAAGUCUCAUCACCCCUGACCGUGAAGAUGCAGGUUGUAACCUGAACCAUAUUGGAGAGUUUCUUUUGGGAUGACUGAAGGCUGGAGAGAAUCUGAAUUUACCUUCCUUCUAAAGAAA